UUUUAAGGUAUGUAUUGGGUGGAGGAGCAUUAUGUAUGGAACCUCUCACAAAACAGGGCUGAAGCAGUGCCUACUCGAUAGAAUCAGUCAUCAUGCAAAUAAAAGCCACCUGAGUCAAAGGCAAAGCCAGAGUGCAGCUUGGAGCAAAGAAGGCCACUUGCCCAUAUAACUUGGAGGAUAUUGAAGAAGAAUCAUACCGACCUGGUUCUGCUACCUAACAGCUGAGUUACUUUGGUCAAGCUCUUGGACUUCUGAGGCUGUUUCCUAAUUUCAAAA